GUACUUCCUUCAGCAACACAUAUACUAAAAAACUUAGAAUGAUAAGAGAUCAGCAUAGCCUCUGUGCAAUGAUGCCAUGUAAAUUUAUGAAGCAUUCCAUAUUUCU
rnacentral:snRNA from 1 species